GUUCCAUUUCGGGUGGGUUCUAGCGCUCCGCUUCGCUGAGUACUGCUAUCGCCUUCGUUUCUACGGGCCACGGGCUCCUGGGAUUCACUUCUCGCCAUCCGGAUUCCGUGAUGAUACUUUCAGUAAAUUGGAGUGUUCAAAGCAAGCCUGCGCUCUGAACAAAUUAGCAUCCAAUAUCACGAUAGGACUCUGGCCUAUCUUGUUGGUCUGUAGGACCAGAGUAAUGAUUAAGAGGGACAGUCGGGGGCAUUCGUAUUUCAUUGUCAGACCUGAAAUUCUUGGAAAUAUGAAAGACGAACUACUGCGAAAGCAUUUGCCAAGGAUGUUUUCAUUAAUCAAGAACGAAAGUUGGGGGCUCGAAACCAUUAGAUACCGUCGUAGUCUCAAGGAUAAACGAUGGGGACUAGGAUUAGCAGACGUUUCAUUGAUGACUCUGCUAGCACCUUAUGUGAAAACAAAGUUAAUGGGUUCCGGGGGAGUAUGGUCGCAGGCUGAAACUUAAAGGAAUUGACGGACCCAGGACCGUGGAGCCUGCGGCUUAAUUUGACUCACACGGGAAAACUUACCCCAGACAUAGUGAGGAUUGACAGAUUGAGAGCUCUUUCUUGAUUCUAUGGGGGGGCAUGGUUCUUAUUGGCCGCCAAGUCAUCUAACGAACAAGGAGCUCUAAACCAUGCGUGCUGUAGAUUUUAGAAGCCUUGAAAACG
rnacentral:rRNA from 1 species